CCUACGGGUGGCAGCAGUGAGGAAUAUUGGUCAAUGGGCGCGAGCCUGAACCAGCCAAGUAGCGUGAAGGAUGACUGCCCUACGGGUUGUAAACUGCUUUUAUAAAGGAGUAAAGUGAGGCACGUGUGACGUUUUGUAUGUACCUGAUGAAUAAGGAUCGGCUAACUCCGUGCCAGCAGCCGCGGUAAUACGGAGGUUCCGUGCGUUAUCCGGAUUUAUUGGGGUUAAAGGGAGCGUAGAUGGGUUGUUAAGUGAGUCGUGAAAGUGUGCGGCUCAACCGUAAAAUUGCAGUUGAUACUGGCAUUCUUGAGUACAGUUGAGGUCGGCGGUAUUCGUGGUGUAGCCG
rnacentral:rRNA from 1 species